rnacentral:tRNA from 1 species
GGAUAGGUACAGCUCAGUGGUAGAGCAUGUGCUUAGCAUGCUUGAGGUCCUGGGCUCCAUCCCCAGUACCUCCA